rnacentral:rRNA from 1 species
GACGAACGCUGGCGGCGUGCUUAACACAUGCAAGUCGAACGGUGGAGCGCCUUCCGUUUUGGUGGGUGUGGAUGAGUGGCGAACGGGUGAGUAACACGUGAGUAACCUGCCCCCUUCUUCUGGCUAACCGCGUGAAAGUGUGGCUAAUACGGGAUAGUCUGGGUCUGUCGCAUGUUGGGUCUGGGCGAGAUAUUGUUUCGGUGGGGGAUGGGCUCGCGGCUUAUCAGCUUGUUGGUGGGGUGAUGGCCUACCGAGGCGGUGACGGGUGGGCGGCCUGGGAGGGUCGAUCGUCACACUGGGACGGAGACACGGACCAGACUCCUGCGGGAGGCAGCAGUGAGUAUUAUUGCACAGUGGGCGGAAGGCUGAUGCCGCGCCGCCGCGGUGGGGAUGGUGGUCUUCUGGUUGUGAACCUCUUGCGCCAGUGAAGCAGGCCUGCCUCGUGUGUGGGUGGGUUGACGGUAGCUGGAUAAGAAGCACCGGCUAACUACGUG